AUACGGAGGGUGCAAGCGUUAUUCGGAAUUACUGGGCGUAAAGCGCGUGCAGGCGGGUAUGCAAGUCUGAUGUGAAAGCCCCGGGCUCAACCUGGGAAGUGCAUUGGAAACUGCAUAUCUUGAGUGCUGGAGAGGAAGGGGGAAUUCCCGGUGUAGAGGUGAAAUUCGUAGAGAUCGGGAGGAAUACCAGUGGCGAAGGCGCCCAUCUGGACAGUAACUGACGCUGAGACGCGAAAGCGUGGGGAGC
rnacentral:rRNA from 1 species